UACAGAGGGUGCAAGCGUUAAUCGGAAUUACUGGGCGUAAAGCGCGCGCAGGCGGUCUGUCAAGUCGGAUGUGAAAUCCCCGGGCUCAACCUGGGAACUGCAUCCGAAACUGGCAGGCUAGAGUCUUGUAGAGGGGGGUAGAAUUCCAGGUGUAGCAGUGAAAUGCGUAGAGAUGUGGAGGAAUACCAAUGGCGAAGGCAGCCCCCUGGACAAAGACUGACGCUCAGGUGCGAAAGCGUGGGGAGCAAACAGG
rnacentral:rRNA from 1 species